GAAGUGCAAACUCCAAAACAGUGAGUGUCUGCUCCUGAACCCCAGAGCUGCUCCUGAGCUGUUUCCCAGUAGAGCUGCCACAGCUCAGGGGGAUUUGGGGGAAGCUUUUCUGGGCAACUGUUUUCAGCAACUUAAUGGGAAUUGGUGCAUGCAACUUAUUUUAAAAAUAAGGUACCCGAAAGAGAAGAGAACAAAAGCUGCUUUAACUGCUGGGCAGAACAGAAGCAUUGAGUGUGAAAGAACAAUCUGCAUUUUCUUGACCAAGUUUGUAUUUGUUUACUGGCAAAACAGGCCAAAGCGUAGGCACAACCAAGAAUAUUGUCCUGUUCUCUUGCUGGCUGUGUGAAAGAAUUGUGUCUCCUGGAGGGAUGCUGUGAAAGGAAAAUACUCUCUGUUGGGGUUGACUUGUUCUGGGGGGUUCACCAGCACAGGCAGUUUUCUCACAGCGCCUCGUUCCUUUUCCCUUGCCCACUGCAGGUCACCUGACCCAUGUAUUCAGAGGUGCCGAUCCCAAGGGCACAGAACUAACAGCAGACUCUCCUCUGGCUCCCUCUGCUCCUGGAGAAGAGGCCAAAGAGGAGCAGAAUGACCACAACCCUCCAGCUGUGAUCACACCACAGCCUGAACUUUCCAAGACACUCCUUCUGGAGAAAGAGCAUGAGCAGAUUGCUCUAUCAGAGAUGCCGUGCCAGACUCGGGGAGAGCUGUUCCCAGCCCGAGAGCAGCUGGAGCAGCUCAGGCAGCAGGUGGAAGAGCCACAAGAGAAUGGCCAAGACAUCAAGGCAGAGCCACAAGCAGAGCUGCCCGAAGCCCAGAGUGACAUCAAGGCAGUGAAGAGGAGGCACGAGGAAGACAUCAGAAGAAUUCAAGAGCACUGGAA